AAUGUGAGAAAUCGCGACGGGGGGAUCCCAAGUGCCAUUCUUAACGGGAUGGCUUUUCAUUAGUGUAAAGAGCUUUUGGAAUAAGAGCUGGGCAAGACCGGUGCCAGCCGCCGCGGUAACACCGGCAGCUCUAGUGGUAGCAAUUUUUAUUGGGCCUAAAGCGUCCGUAGCCGGUUUAAUAAGUCUCUGGUGAAAUCCUGCAGCUUAACUGUGGGAAUUGCUGGAGAUACUAUUAGACUUGAGACCGGGAGAGGUUAGAGGUACUCCCAGGGUAGAGGUGAAAUUCUGUAAUCCUGGGAGGACCGCCUGUUGCGAAGGCGUCUAACUGGAACGGUUCUGACGGUGAGGGACGAAAGUUAGGGGCGCGAACCGGAUUAGAUACCCGGGUAGUCCUAACUGUAAACGAUGCGGACUUGGUGUUGGGGUGGCUUUGAGCUGCUUCAGUGCCGAAGGGAAGCUGUUAAGUCCGCCGCCUGGGAAGUACGGUCGCAAGACUGAAACUUAA
rnacentral:rRNA from 1 species